UACGUAGGGUGCAAGCGUUAAUCGGAAUUACUGGGCGUAAAGCGUGCGCAGGCGGUUGUGCAAGACAGAUGUGAAAUCCCCGGGCUCAACCUGGGAACUGCAUUUGUGACUGCACGGCUGGAGUGCGGCAGAGGGGGGAUGGAAUUCCGCGUGUAGCAGUGAAAUGCGUAGAUAUGCGGAGGAACACCGAUGGCGAAGGCAAUCCCCUGGGCCUGCACUGACGCUCUGUCGCGAAAGCGUGGGGAGCAAACAGG
rnacentral:rRNA from 1 species